rnacentral:tRNA from 1 species
GGAGAGAUGGUCGAGCUGGUUUAAGGCACCGGUCUUGAAAACCGGCGUAGGUGAAAGCCUACCGUGAGUUCGAAUCUCACUCUCUCCGCCA